UUGAUCUUAGUUGCCAGCAUUCAGUUGGGCACUCUAAGGUGACUGCCGGUGACAAACCGGAGGAAGGUGGGGAUGACGUCAAAUCAUCAUGCCCCUUAUGACCUGGGCUACACACGUGCUACAAUGGACAGAACAAAGGGCAGCGAAACCGCGAGGUUAAGCCAAUCCCACAAAUCUGUUCUCAGUUCGGAUCGCAGUCUGCAACUCGACUGCGUGAAGCUGGAAUCGCUAGUAAUCGCGGAUCAGCAUGCCGCGGUGAAUACGUUCCCGGGCCUUGUACACACCGCCCGUCACACCACGAGAGUUUGUAACACCCGAAGUCGGUGAGGUAACCUUUAUGGAGCCAGCCGCCGAAGGUGGGACAGAUGAUUGGGGUGAAGUCGUAACAAGGUAGCCGUAUCGGAAGGUGCGGCUGGAUCACCUCCUUU
rnacentral:rRNA from 1 species